UGCACAGGAACAUGUAUGCCUCAGUGGU
rnacentral:piRNA from 1 species